rnacentral:rRNA from 1 species
CCAAGCUAAUAAGAGCCAACGGUGAAUGCCUUGGCGCCAAGAACCGAUGAAGGACGUGAGUGACUGCGAAAAGCUCCGGGGAGCCGUCUACUAGGCAUUGAUCCGGAGAUGUCCGAAUGGGGAAACCCACCACUCGUUAUGGAGUGUGUACCGCUGCCUGAACACAUAGGGCGGUUGGAGGGAACCGGGGGAAUUGAAACAUCUCAGUACCCCGAGGAAAGGAAAGCAACCGCGACACCCUGAGUAGCGGCGAGCGAAAUGGGUUGAGUCUAAACCGUGCCAGUGUCAAGCCUGAAGGCGUUGCUGGUGCGGGGUCGUGGGACCACGAGAUAGAGCUUCAGAUCUGUCACAGGUUACAAGUGCUGCAUAGGAGAACUGAUCAGGAAAGUCAGGCCGUAGUGGGUAAUAGCCCCGUAUCCGAAAUGUGUGUACUACCUGCGUGUUAUCCCAAGUAAUGCCGGAACCGUGAAAGCCGGCAUGAAUCUGUGGGGACCACCCCAUAAGACUAAGUAUUCCUUGGCGACCGAUAGUGAACCAGUACCGUGAGGGAAAGGUGAAAAGUACCCCGGGAGGGGAGUGAAAUAGUACCUGAAACCGUUGGUUUACAAACAGUCAGAGUGUCGUCACCUUCGGGUGGCCACGAUGGCGUGCCUUUUGAAGAAUGAGCCUGCGAGUUACGGUAUGUGGCAAGGUUAACCAGAGAUGGGAAGCCGGAGCGAAAGCGAGUCUGAAUAGGGCGUUCAGUCGCAUGCUGUAGACCCGAAGCCGAGUGAUCUAGCCAUGGGCAGGUUGAAGCGGGGGUAAGACCCCGUGGAGGACCGAACACACGUCAGUUGAAAAUGGCGGUGAUGACCUGUGGUUAGGGGCGAAAGACCAAUCAAACUCGGCGAUAGCUGGUUCUCCUCGAAAUGCAUUUAGGUGCAGCGUCAUGCGUUCAGUACCGGAGGUAGAGCACUGGAUGGGUUAGGGGGCCUACAAGCUUACCGACCCCAGCCAAACUCCGAAUUACGGUACUCCAGAGCAUGGCAGUGAGACCACGGGGGAUGAGCUUCGUUGGUCGAAAGGGAAACAGCCCAGAUCAUCAGCUAAGGCCCCUAAUUCUGUACUAAGUGGAAAACGAUGUGAAAUUGCAUAGACAGCCAGGAGGUUGGCUUAGAAGCAGCCACCCUUAAAAGAGUGCGUAACAGCUCACUGGUCGAGUGGUCCUGCGCGGACAAUUUAACGGGGCUCAAGUCCUGAGCCGAAGCUAUGGAUUUCAACAUUUAUGUUGGAGUGGUAGAGGAGCGUUGAUGAUGCGACUGAAGCGACGGGAUAACCCGGCGUGGAGUGUCAUCAAGUGAGAAUGUAGGCAUGAGUAGCGAGAGAGGGGUGAGAAACCCCUCCGCCGUAAGCCCAAGGGUUCCUGGGGAAGGCUAAUCCUCCCAGGGUAAGUCGGGAGCUAAGACGAGGCCGCGAGGCGUAGUCGAUGCACAACUGGUUGAUAUUCCAGUACCUCCGUGCCCGCGCCAAGUCCAAUAGUUGCAACGUUGGGGCUGUUCAUCUUUAUGUUGAGCGAGCUGACCGAGCGGCUGGCGGAUAGUUGACGGGGGACGCAGGAAGAUAAGUGAGCCCAGGCGAUGGUAGUCCUGGGGUAAGCGUGUAGGCGGUUCCCGAUGAGAGUUGGGGACGUAACGCUGAGACGUGAUGCCGAACGACAUACUGUGAAGUCACUGAUUCUAUGCUGCCAAGAAAAGCCCAGCAAUGAGCUGGCACGGAGCCCGUACCCCAAACCGACACAGGUGGGCGGGUAGAGAAUACUAAGGCGAGCGGGAGAACUAUGGUUAAGGAACUCGGCAAAUUACCUCCGUAACUUCGGAAGAAGGAGGACCUGCUUUGGUGACGAGAUUUACUCUCCGAGCUGAGGUGGGUGGCACAGACCAGGGGGUAGCGACUGUUUACCAAAAACACAGCAGCGUGCGAAGCCGCAAGGCGCUGUAUACGCUGUGACGCCUGCCCAAUGCUGGAAGGUCACGAGGAUCGGUUAGUCGUAAGGCGAAGCUGUGAAUCUAAGCCCCAGUGAAUGGCGGCCGUAACUAUAACGGUCCUAAGGUAGCGAAAUUCCUUGUCGGGUAAGUUCCGACCUGCACGAAUGGCGUAACGACUUCCCCGCUGUCUCCAAUGUAGACUCAGCGAAAUUGAAUUGCCUGUUAAGAUGCAGGCUUCCCGCGGUUAGACGGAAAGACCCCGUGCACCUUUACUACAGCUUCACACUGGCAUUAGGUCAGACGUGUGCAGGAUAGGUGGUAGGCUUUGAAACUCGGACGCCAGUUCGGGUGGAGCCUCCCUUGAGAUACCACCCCUGUCUGUCUUGAUGUCUAACCGCGGUCCGUUAUCCGGAUCCGGGACCCUGUGUGGCGGGUAGUUUGACUGGGGCGGUCGCCUCCUAAAGCGUAACGGAGGCGCGCGAAGGUUGGCUCAGAGCGGUCGGAAAUCGCUCGUUGAGUGCAAUGGCAGAAGCCAGCCUGACUGCGAGACUGACAAGUCGAGCAGAGUCGAAAGACGGCCAUAGUGAUCCGGUGGUCCCGAGUGGAAGGGCCAUCGCUCAACGGAUAAAAGGUACGCCGGGGAUAACAGGCUGAUACUGCCCAAGAGUCCAUAUCGACGGCAGUGUUUGGCACCUCGAUGUCGGCUCAUCUCAUCCUGGGGCUGGAGCAGGUCCCAAGGGUACGGCUGUUCGCCGUUUAAAGAGGUACGUGAGCUGGGUUUAGAACGUCGUGAGACAGUUCGGUCCCUAUCUGCCGUGGGUGUAGGAUACUUGAGAGGAGUUGCCCCUAGUACGAGAGGACCGGGGUGAACGAUCCACUGGUGGACCAGUUGUCGACUACGGCAGUGCUGGGUAGCUAUGAUCGGACAGGAUAACCGCUGAAAGCAUCUAAGCGGGAAGCCCCCCUCAAAACAAGGUAUCCCUGAGGACCGAGGUAGACCACCUCGUCGAUAGGCCAGAGGUGUAAGCGUGGUAACACGUUCAGCUGACUGGUACUAAUGGUCCGAUAGGCUUGAUUUG